AGGGCCCUGGGUUUUCAUUAUUCAGUUGCCCUUCUUAGACUGCAUUAUUUUUAAACUUUGUGAUUUCACGUCUUAAUCUUGAAGGUGAUGACAUGAUUUGGUGUUUGGAUAAGUAUAGCAGAAAAAAUUUACACCUAUCGUCACAAAGUUUCAGUAGUUUCUAUUCAGCUUAAUCCUAAAGGCAAUGACUUGAUUUGCUUUUUGGAUAAGAAUAGCGGAAAAAUUUUCCACUCGUCAUCAUCCCAAAUUUUUAAUAUUUUCUGUUCAACGUAAUUGCGCGCGCGCGAGGAUAGCAGGCUGACAGUGAUGGUGAGAUUUCCUCUUCCGCUUGUUCAUAUUAAUUUAACCAUUUAAAUUUUGAGUUAGAUCGAAGUCUCACUGUAUGAGUGUAUCCCACCAUUUGAGGGAAAAAUAUAUUCCUGAUCUCACAUGGGACAAUUUUCACUAGAAAACUGACAUCUAUCUAAUAUUUAUAGUAGAGACUAAAUGACCAAAAGUCCAAAAGGGAAAGAGAAGCAAGGCGAAAGUGUAAUAUAAAGAAGAUUCAAAGGAGAAAAAGCCAGAAAGCAUGCCAACUAUUUCGAAUCUCCAGGGCCAGCACAUGAGGUUGCCAACCAAUCACGUUCUGCAAUUAGUAAUAUUGUAGAAAAAUGGCUGUGUAAAUUACAUGUCACGAUACAUUUUUGGUAUGCAUAAGCGGAGCCCUCGUAUUAAAUUAUUUUUAAGUGUUCUGACAUUAUAAAAAAGUGGUAUUAUUCAUAAUUUAGAAACAAUAUGAAUGUAUGAUUGAUCUCAAACUUUGUAUAAUGUUUGUAAUAUUGACUUAAAAAAAUAUCUACUUGGCAUA